rnacentral:lncRNA from 1 species
GUCUCGAGACUGAAAUGGCUAGUUUGAUUCAAAUAACCCUAAGUUUAGGGUUGUUAUUGUUUUUGCUCAGAAAAUGUGUUGGUUCAGAAGCCUCCUUUUCCUGAACAUUGGUUGCUUCCUCAACCGUGCGUUUGUUACUGUCAGAAACAGUGAGGCCAACUGUCUCUUGAAGAUCAACUGGCGAGAACUUUGGCUAGAAUUGGAUCAAGUGAACCCAGAAGGCCCAUCUCAAGAAUGUUCCUUUAUGGACAAAGGCAGUUUAUGUGAUCCAAGAGACAUAGUGAAACCAAAUGUUUCUGAAGACAUCCCCUUUGUUCUUAAAGUACUCAGUGAAACUGCUGCUCUGUUUGAAAUGAAAAAUGUCCCCUUCCAUAAUGUGAGAGAUUUUUUGGAGUAUAACUACGUCAUACAAGAUGAGCUCAAAAUUGCUCUACGAUCCCGCUUCAGUCAUCAACUGACUACCAUUACAGUUAAUGAAUGCUUUAAAAAGAUGAAAAUAUUUUUGAACAGGGACACUCACUGUGCUUGGCAGGUGAUCCACCAAGAUGCCUUAGUGAUUUUUCAACAACUAGAGUUCUACAUUGUUACUUCACAGCUGAACUGACCCGCAAGCUGAAGAUCUGACACUCUUGUGGGACAAUUGUUGCUGCUAUAAAGGUUGAUGGUGUUGACUAUAUUUGUGCAAUAAUGUUAGUUUUC